CCUGAAGAAGAAUCCACUGAAAAACCUGAGAAUCAUGUUGAAGCUAAACCCAUAUGCAAAGACCAUGCACCGGAACACCAUUCUUCUCUAGGCCAAGAACCACAAGCUUCAGGUAGAUAAAGCAGCAGCAGCACUAGAAGCCAAAUCAGAUGAGAAGGGGGUUCCAGGCCAGAAGCCUGUGGUCGGGAAGAAAGGAAAGAAGGCUGUUGGCCUUAAGAAGCAGAAGAAGCCUUUGGUGGGGAAAAAGGCUGCAGCUACCAAGAAACCAGCAGCUGAGAAGAAGCCCACAGAAAAGAAACCCACCACAGAAGAAAAGAAACCUUUUGUGGGGAGAAAGGCU